GACGGGGGAGGCACUACAACAGGUGGAGCCUGCGGUUUAAUUGGAUUCAACGCCGGAAAUCUCACCGGGGCGACAGCAAUAUGAAGGUCAGGCUGAAGACCUUACCCGAUUAGCUGAGAGGUGGUGCAUGGCCGUCGUCAGUUCGUACUGUGAAGCAUCCUGUUAAGUCAGGCAACGAGCGAGACCCACGUCCACAGUUGCCAGCAUACCCUCCGGGGUGAUGGGUACACUGUGGAGACCGCCGCUGCUAAAGCGGAGGAAGGAGUGGGCAACGGUAGGUCAGUAUGCCCCGAAUCUCCCGGGCUACACGCGGGCUACAAUGGUUGGUACAAUGGGCAUCUACCCCGAAAGGGGAAGGAAAUCUCUUAAAGCCAAUCGUAGUUCGGAUUGAGGGCUGCAACUCGCCCUCAUGAAGCUGGAAUCCGUAGUAAUCGCGUUUCAACAGAACGCGGUGAAUACGUCCCUGCUCCUU
rnacentral:rRNA from 1 species